CUUUCUAGUUUGUGUGGUAUGACACAGAUGUCACUACUGUGAGGAAGAAUGAAAUGUUAUCCAACCCUAAUCUCUGGCAGAUGUCUUAUCCUUCUCCAAAGUGAUGAUGUAGAAGCUCUCUUAACUCCAGGAGCUGCCCCAUCGUCCAGUCAUAUACAGACAGCUAAGUGGAAGCCAGGAAAGGCAUCAUCCUAAAGUGGGCAGCUGCACCAGUAUCACCCACUUGAGGGACAUACAUGAAGG